CCAUUCGAACUGCUCACACAG
rnacentral:misc_RNA from 1 species